rnacentral:rRNA from 1 species
UGGGGAAUAUUGCACAAUGGGCGCAAGCCUGAUGCAGCCAUGCCGCGUGUAUGAAGAAGGCCUUCGGGUUGUAAAGUACUUUCAGCGGGGAGGAAGGUGUUGUGGUUAAUAACCUCAGCAAUUGACGUUACCCGCAGAAGAAGCACCGGCUAACUCCGUGCCAGCAGCCGCGGUAAUACGGAGGGUGCAAGCGUUACUCGGAAUUACUGGGCGUAAAGCGCACGCAGGCGGUCUGUCAAGUCGGAUGUGAAAUCCCCGGGCUCAACCUGGGAACUGCAUCCGAAACUGGCAGGCUUGAGUCUUGUAGAGGGGGGUAGAAUUCCAGGUGUAGCGGUGAAAUGCGUAGAGAUCUGGAGGAAUACCGGUGGCGAAGGCGGCCCCCUGGACAAAGACUGACGCUCAGGUGCGAAAGCGUGGGGAGCAAACA